rnacentral:rRNA from 1 species
AGAGUUUGAUUCUGGCUCAGAACGAACGCUGGCAGCGUGGAUUAGGCAUGCAAGUCGAACGAGAAUCCGUGGUUUCAAUCUUCGGAGAGAAAUCACGGUGGACAGUGGCGGAAGGGUGAGUAACGCGUGGGUAACCUGCCCCUAAGUUGGGGACAACCCCGGGAAACCGGAGCUAAUACCGAAUGUGGUCCUCUGUCGCAUGGCAGGGUGACUAAAGGUGGGGAUUCUUCGGAACCUGCCGCUUGGGGAGGGGCCCGCGUCCCAUCAGUUUGUUGGUAGGGUAACGGCCUACCAAGGCUUACGGGUAGCUGGUCUGAGAGGACAGUCAGCCACACUGGGACUGAGACACUGCCCAGACUCCUACGGGAGGCUGCAGUCGAGGAUCAUUCGCAAUGCGCGAAAGCGUGACGAUGCGACGCUGCGUGGAGGAUGACGGCCUUCGGGUUGUAAACUCCUGUCAUGAGGGGCAAGCCGGCGGAGGGAUAAUACCCCUACGCCCCGAUGGUACCUCAAGAGGAAGCCACGGCUAACUCUGUGCCAGCAGCCGCGGUAAUACAGAGGUGGCGAGCGUUGUUCGGAUUUACUGGGCGUAAAGAGUGCGUAGGUGGUUCCGUAUGUCGGGUGUGAAAUCCCACGGCUCAACCGUGGAACUGCAACCGAAACUGCGGGGCUAGAGUGCAGGAGGGGAGAGCGGAAUUCUUGGUGUAGCGGUGAAAUGCGUUGAUAUCAAGAAGAACACCGGUGGCGAAGGCGGCUCUCUGGAAUGCUACUGACGCUGAGGCACGAAAGCUGGGGGAGCGAACAGGAUUAGAUACCCUGGUAGUCCCAGCCGUAAACGGUGUGCACUUGGUGUGGGGGGAUUUGACCCCCUCCGUGCCGGAGCUAACGCGUUAAGUGCACCGCCUGGGGAGUACGGUCGCAAGAUUAAAACUCAAAGAAAUUGACGGGGGCCCGCACAAGCGGAGGAGCAUGUGGCUUAAUUCGAUGCAACGCGAAGAACCUUACCAGGGCUUGACAUGUAGCUGCACGCCCGCCGAAAGGUGGGAAGCCUUCGAGGGUGCUACACAGGUGCUGCAUGGCUGUCGUCAGUUCGUGCCGUGAGGUGUUGGGUUAAGUCCCGCAACGAACGCAACCCUUGUGUUUAGUUGCCACCGCAGGUGAUGAGCCUGCGAGCACUCUAAACAGACUGCCCGUACAAGCGGGAGGAAGGUGGGGACGACGUCAAGUCAGUAUGGCCCUUACGCCCUGGGCUGCACACGUGCUACAAUGGCCGGUACAGAAGGAUGCAAGACCGCGAGGUGGAGCAAAUCCUGAAAGCUGGCCCCAGUUCGGAUUGGAGUCUGCAACUCGACUCCAUGAAGUCGGAUUCGCUAGUAACGGCGCAUCAGCUACGGCGCCGUGAAUACGUUCCCGGGCCUUGUACACACCGCCCGUCACUUCAUGAAAGCCGUCUGCACCCGAAGUCGCUGAGCUAACCCGCAAGGGAGGCAGGUGCCGAAGGUGUGGGUGGUGAUUGGGAUGAAGUCGUAACAAGGUA